rnacentral:rRNA from 1 species
AGAGUUUGAUCAUGGCUCAGAUUGAACGCUGGCGGCAGGCCUAACACAUGCAAGUCGAACGGUAACAGAAAGCAGCUUGCUGCUUUGCUGACGAGUGGCGGACGGGUGAGUAAUGUCUGGGAAACUGCCUGAUGGAGGGGGAUAACUACUGGAAACGGUAGCUAAUACCGCAUAACGUCGCAAGACCAAAGAGGGGGACCUUCGGGCCUCUUGCCAUCGGAUGUGCCCAGAUGGGAUUAGCUAGUAGGUGGGGUAAAGGCUCACCUAGGCGACGAUCCCUAGCUGGUCUGAGAGGAUGACCAGCCACACUGGAACUGAGACACGGUCCAGACUCCUACGGGAGGCAGCAGUGGGGAAUAUUGCACAAUGGGCGCAAGCCUGAUGCAGCCAUGCCGCGUGUAUGAAGAAGGCCUUCGGGUUGUAAAGUACUUUCAGCGGGGAGGAAGGGAGUAAAGUUAAUACCUUUGCUCAUUGACGUUACCCGCAGAAGAAGCACCGGCUAACUCCGUGCCAGCAGCCGCGGUAAUACGGAGGGUGCAAGCGUUAAUCGGAAUUACUGGGCGUAAAGCGCACGCAGGCGGUUUGUUAAGUCAGAUGUGAAAUCCCCGGGCUCAACCUGGGAACUGCAUCUGAUACUGGCAAGCUUGAGUCUCGUAGAGGGGGGUAGAAUUCCAGGUGUAGCGGUGAAAUGCGUAGAGAUCUGGAGGAAUACCGGUGGCGAAGGCGGCCCCCUGGACGAAGACUGACGCUCAGGUGCGAAAGCGUGGGGAGCAACAGGAUUAGAUACCCUGGUACUCCAC